UUCUCUCUCUCUUUCUCUCUCUCUUUCUUGCACUCUCUCUCUUUCUCUCUCUCUCUUUCCACCAAGUGCUCCUAAUCCUGCUCUCUUCCCUCCCACUACCUCCUUUAUCAUACUUCCUCUACAACCCCUCCCUUUGUCCCUCUCUGUCUCUCUCUAGCAUCUAUAUCUCCUCUCUCUCUCUCUCUCUCUCGCUCUCUCUCUCUGUCUACAGUGAUCAGGAGGAAGGAGAAUGGCUGGUAUGAUGAAGAACAUCCCCUCGUUAUCCUCUUCCUCGGCUCCUCUGGAAUCGGUAAGACUGAGCUGGACAAACAGGUGGCUCGUUAUAUGCACAACGACCUGAAAAAGGGAUUCAUCUGCAUGGACAUGUCCGAAUUCCAGGAGAAGCACGAGGUAUGAUAUCAUCAACUCCACUAUCCCACAACCAGGAAGAUACUUCACAUUCUCUCAACCAGGAAGAGACUUCAUGUUCCCAUAACCAGGAAGAAACUUAAUGUUCCCACAACCAGGAAGGGACUUCAUAUUCCCAAAAUCAGGAAGAGACUUUCUGUUCCCACAACCAGGAAGGUCAUUGGACUGGGAUACACUAUCUACUGUAGGGCCGUCUUACAGAUGGGAAGGGGAAGACCACUGAGUGUAAGGACGCCAUCUUCAUCAUGACCUCGAACGUGGCCAGUGACGACAUCGCCCAGCAUGCAUUGCAGCUCCGCCAGGAGGCCCAGAAACUCAGCCGCAGGAAACUGGCCGACA